GGAUCAUGUACGUAUAAUAAAGAUACAUCUGGAACGACACCUCAAAAACGCAUGCCAUAGGAAGCUUAGUAACCAAGACGUUCUUGAAAGCUCAAAAUCAAAGGCUGUAUCGUGUUUCAUCUUGGUACAUUAGGUAUUUAGGCAUUUACAGCUUCAUGACUUUAUUGGUGUUAUUUUAAGCAAAUUAUAGCCAUCAAACCAUCAAAUGUUCAAAGAUGUAGAGCUGCAGGCCUGCCGCUGGAGAUGGAAUUCCCUUUAAGUGGUGAUUACUGGGGCGAGCGGAGGUUUCCCUCAAAGACGCAGACGGCAUGCUGGCAGCGGUCAAGAGAGCGUGGUCGGAGAUGAAGAGGGGAGGAAGGGGACGUUUAAAAGCAAAGAUGGGGAUGAGUGACGAUUAAGGAGGGAAAAUCUGAAAUAGACACCUGCUGAAUAAUCAAGUGUUGAUAAAGUUUCUGAGUAGACGCAGAGGUGGGGGGGGCGGUGGUUUCAAUCGGACGAGGCAGUAAACUGACCGUGAGAAAAAGAGCCAUAAGGAGAAAAUAUCUUUAAAAAGCGAAGCCGCUGCUCACAGGAUGUGGCAGCAGAGAGUCCACAAGGCCGGAGCUGGUGGCUUUAGGCCCUGUAGUAAUUACCUUCCUCCACAGACCACAGAAGGCGGCACAAGAGCCUGGAGCACGGCAUGGCUUUGAGAUAAAACAACCGCCGUCUCUAAAUCAUGUGCGGUCAGAGCUCUGCAUUCACCUCUUCAGACCUUCAGCUGAAAUAUACGAUACGCGAGCCGAAUGAGACAGGUUGAUGAGGUGUGCUGACAUCAAAUGAGACCGCAGAACUACAGAAGAAGAAAGCAGCAAGAGUUCACGUGGACGCCACAAAAGGACACGCCACUACACAAUGGACAUGAUGUCGAAGGAGAUCUACGAGCAGCCGUUGCUGUGAAUGUGCCAAGUACUGUCCUCGCUGCUAAGCCUUUCAGAUUUGGGGUGAAAAAAAAAAUGUGGUGUUUUAUCUGCGAAGAGAGAAGGGGAUUAAAGAGAGAGAACUGGAGGGAUGUCACAUGCUAAGUCAGAAGCAUAUCAGGAGGUGGAGGAGGAAUUCAUUCUCUGGAGGAGAAAGUGAACACAACACGGUCCUCCCGCUCGUUCACAACCACACACGGCCAAGGAAACAUCCACAUUUCACUGGAAACCACAGAAGGAGCUUGUCCUGUUUGCAACAAGGCCCUCGGUUGGUGUUUCAGGUUCUAGGCGUCUUAGUUAACUCCCGCAGACAAUGAGAGGACGUCCACCUGUGGGUCUGUCGUUUGAGCUCAUCCCGAAGGGGGUGAAGUGCUAUGAAACAUCUGCCGGGUCGGAGGUGGCCUCACGGCUGGAGAGUGGCCGCUGCGUCUACCCAAGGCCGUCCCCCCAAAAACCAAACACUGGUCCCACCCAAGCCCUCCCAUGACCUCUGUUAGCACGUGCCUAUCCUUACGACCCCUGGGGGUCAAAGGGCACUGGGUGAGAGGACGCUUUCACUCCCGAGUCCCUUAGCGUGUGUGCUGUGUGUAUCUUCUGGUGGGAUGUGGGGGGGUGAAGGGUGACAGAGUCGAGGGGCGCAGAGGUUCCCGGAGACGCCCUCUCUAGUGUUCAACUGCAUGUCCGGACGCCCACAGAGAGAGUGUGCGACAGAAAGAAAGAGAUGGAGAGAGAGAGAGAGCCGUGGCAAGAGAAAUCUGUCAUUUUAAUGGUCACUUUUACGGCCUGGGAGAGUUGGGUGGCAGCCAGACUGCUCCAUUACUGACGGCAGUCCGGCAGACACCAGACAGAUGCAUCAGCGUGCGAGCUUUAUUGUCACAGAGCGAACGACAGAUGUAUCUUUCCCGAGUCAAAGUCACUGCAGGAUUGGAUUUAAGUGAUUGUUGGGUGGGGCAGCGGAAGCCUCAGGCUGAGAGAAGAGGUCAUAAAGGAGCGAUCUCCUUUCACUCAUUUUCUCUGCUGUCGAGCAGUUUACUGAGUGACAUGUCAGGGAACUGACUUGGGCUGCAACUAAUGAUUAUUCUCCUUAUCCAUAAAUCUGCUGGCUACUUUCCAGAUGAAUCUUUUAUACUAUAAAAUCUCAAAAACUGUAAAAAAAAAAAGCUCACCACAAUUCCACAGAGACCAAAGUGACGUUCUUAAACUGUUUUUCUUUUUCUUUUUUGGGAAGACUCUUCAUUUAUUGUCAUAAAUUACAUCUGACAGGCUUAAACCAGUACAUAUUUCACAUUUCUGCUUAAAAUGACUGAAUAAAU
rnacentral:lncRNA from 1 species